rnacentral:lncRNA from 1 species
UUUGAAGCCAACCAAGUUUCGACACACUAAAGUAACUAGAAUCUUGUAGAUAGAUUUUGCAAGAUCAUGAUAUAAGUGGUAUGUCAUGGGGGAUCCUAUUCUAAAUAUGGGUGCUAAGUCUUAUUCUUAACAAUGAUUUGGCUACUAACUUGGUUGGAUUUUUCCCACAUGUAGUUUUUUUAAUGCUUCCCCACAUGUAGCUUAACCGUGCUACUAUGGAAAAAAUUUCUUUAAUUGUGGUAUUAGGCAGAGGUUAGCAUGAACUAAUAGGGGCUUAGUUGUGUAUAGGGGUUGGUAUCUUUUUGUUAUCUAUCUUAAACAGGAAAUGCAUGUUCUAGAAGCUCCUCACAAGUGCCAUGCAAAAAAAAAGAUGAUAGGCUAUUUUUUUAUUAUCUUUAAUGGCUAUUAUUGUAUUUUUUGAAGGGGCUAUUAUUGUAUUUUACCAUCCUAGUUUUAUUUACAAUACAUAUUUUAUUGUGUAUAAUAUAUAUCACAAUAGUUGAUGGCUUGAUGCUCAUCAAGUUCUUGAAAUUAUAUUUAGUAAAUAUAUGAGGAGUAUUGUUUUU